CAGCCGCCACGGUAAUACGUAGGGGGCAAGCGUUAUCCGGAAUUACUGGGUGUAAAGGGAGCGUAGACGGUUAAACAAGUCUGAAGUGAAAUGCCGGGGCUCAACCCCGGAGCUGCUUUGGGAACUGUAGAACUGGAGUGUCGGAGGGGUAAGCGGAAUUCCCAGUGUAGCGGUGAAAUGCGUAGAUAUUGGGAGGAACACCGGCGGCGAAGGCGGCUUACUGGACGACAACUGACGUUGAGGCUCGAAGGCGUGGGUAGCAAACAGGAUUAGAUACCCCAGUAGUCCCUGUCUCUUAUAC
rnacentral:rRNA from 1 species